rnacentral:rRNA from 1 species
AUGGCGAUCGGAGCUGUGCUGUCGCAACAAUGGAGCUUGCUUUUCUCGGUUGCGGCACUCGUGGCUCUAUGGUGGGCCUGGCGGGUGCUGGAGCUGGCCUGGAUCACCCCGCGGAGGCUGGACCGAGCGCUGCGGGCCCAGGGCCUCGGCGGCAGGGCGUACCGCUUCCCGUUCGGCGAUCUGCGGGAGUUUUCCCGGCUGGUCGCCGUGGCCCGGUCGGUGCCCAUGCUGCCGCCGUCACACAAUAUCACAGCGCGGGUGGCCCCCCUGUACCACAGCGUGAUCAAGGAGCACGGGAAGAUCUCCGUGACCUGGUUCGGCCCGACCCCGAGGGUGAUCGUGAACGAUCCAAAACUGGUGCGGGAGAUACUGGCCAACAAGUCCGGGCACUUCCGGAAGCGCAAGUUCAGCAACGGCAUCGUCAGGCGGCUGGCCAACGGGCUGGUGAGCCACGACGGCGAGAAAUGGGCCGCUCACCGGAAGAUCAUCAACCCCGCAUUUCAUCUCGAGAAACUCAAGAAAAUGAUGCCCGCUUUCGUCGCCUGCUGCAAUGAGCUGGUGACUAGGUGGGAGGAUCGCGUGGGGUCCGACGAGGCCAAGGAGAUAGACGUGUGGCCGGAGUUCCAGAACCUCACCGGCGACGUGAUCUCCCGUGCGGCGUUCGGCAGCAGCUUCAGCGAAGGGAGGAGGAUUUUCCAGAUACAGUCGGAGCAGGCCCAGAAUGUGGUGAAGAUGCUGAACACCCUAUACCUCCCAGGUUUCAAGUUCUUGCCGAUGCAACUCAACCGACGGGUGAAGGCGAACGGGCGCGAGGUCGAGUGGCUGCUGAAAGGCAUAAUCGGCAGGAGGGAGAGGGCCAUGAGAGAAGGCAACGCCAGCAACGAUGACCUGCUGGGCGUGCUGAUGGAGUGCAACGCCGCGGAGACCAAGGAAGCCGGGAGCUCCAAGCCCAUCAUGACCAUGGACGACAUCAUCGGGGAGCUGAAGCUCUUCUACUUCGCCGGAAUGGACACCACCGCCGUGCUGCUCACCUGGACGCUGGUGGCGCUGAGCAUGCACCCCGAGUGGCAGGACCGCGCGAGGGAGGAGGUCCUGCGCGUCUUCGGGAAGGAGGACCAGCCGGACCUGGACGGCGUAAACCAGCUCAAGGUGGUGGCCAUGGUGCUGCACGAGGUGCUCAGGCUGUACCCGCCGGUCAUCCAGUUCGACCGGCAGACGUACACGGAGGUGGAGCUGGGCGGCGUCAGGUACCCGCCGGGCGUGAUCCUCUCGCUGCCCAUCGUGUUCCUCCACCAUGACCCGGACGUCUGGGGAGAGGACGCCGACGAGUUCAGGCCGGAGAGGUUCGCCGAGGGCGUCUCCAAGGCGUCCGGGAACUCGUCGUCGUCGGCGUUCUUCCCGUUCGGCUGGGGCCCGCGGAUCUGCGUCGGCCAGAACUUCGCGCUCAUCGAAGCCAAGAUGGCGCUGAGCAGGAUACUGCAGCGCUUCGAGUUCGGGCUGUCGCCAUGCUACAGGCACGCCCCGUUCCCGGUCUCCACCCUGCAGCCUGAUCAUGGCGCGCCCAUCCUGCUCAAGAAACUCUAA